CCUCUGGAUAUUUGCCAAGAAUUUGAGAUGUAAGAAAUAAAAACUCAUCUUCAAUUUUUCAUAGAAUUGGACUGGGGCCAAGAAAACCUUCCACAAAUCAAGUCUUCUCUGAUGAUGUGCCGAUGAUGUCAUAAUUGGAGGUGAGAUUAAGAAACCUCAUAGGAUCUCAGCGGCUAUACUCGCUAAUUCCUUAGUCAAUCGAAUUACUUCCUUCCCACUCUCUGCAAGUUUAUGAAAAAUCAGAACACUGCCAGCCUGGCCUCGGAGGAGUAUGGAGUGACAUUUUCGGACCUCGGUUCUGUAUUUCGGACUGCAUUCUGCUGUGCCUGCCUGCUGUGUGCCAUGUUCCCAUGUGGCUGCAGAGUGUCUUGUCCCUGUUGCUUGGCUGCUAAUAUGGGAGCAUAAUUUUGGUUCAGUAGUAAAAUGAAGGGAAUGCUGGAGAUUUUCCAUAUCUAGCAAG